UAUCUUCUUUGGAAAAAGGAAUCCAUGGAGAACAGAAACGAUCAUGCUCAAGAUCAGCAGAAGGGUAAUGGAAACGAUGAAGAACCAGUCAUCAACUAUAGAGGAAUCAAAGCUAUGCCCUUCAUCAUUGGAAAUGAGACAUUUGAGAAGCUUGGAACUGUUGGAUCUUCAACAAACCUUGUGGUUUAUCUGAACACAGUUUUUAACCUCAAGAGUGUGACUGCUACUACUCUUGUUAAUGUCUUCAAUGGCGCCACAAAUCUUGCUCCUUUGCUUGGAGCUUUUCUCUGUGAUACUUAUUUUGGACGAUACAAGACUCUGGGUUUUGCUUCUGUGGCCUCCUUUUUGGGAAUGUCGGCACUAGCUCUGACAGCAGCAAUCCCCAACUUGCACCCUCCAAAGUGUGUAGGAAAAGAAAGCAGCCUGUGUGUAGGCCCAACGGUUUGGCAAUUGGCAUUUCUUCUCUUUGGCUUUGGGCUCAUAGCCAUUGGAGCUGGUGGAAUCAGACCUUGCAAUCUAGCCUUUGGAGCAGAGCAAUUCAAUCCCAACACUGAAGCAGGCAAGAGGGCUAUGAGUAGCUUCUUCAAUUGGUACUACUUCACCUACACAUUCGCUGUCAUGGUUUCAGUCACUGGCAUUGUCUAUGUUCAAUCUGACGU
rnacentral:misc_RNA from 1 species